CGCGGCCUAUCAGCUUGUUGGUGGGGUAAUGGCCCACCAAGGCGACGACGGGUAGCCGGCCUGAGAGGGCGACCGGCCACACUGGGACUGAGACACGGCCCAGACUCCUACGGGAGGCAGCAGUGGGGAAUAUUGCGCAAUGGGCGGAAGCCUGACGCAGCGACGCCGCGUGAGGGAUGAAGGCCUUCGGGUCGUAAACCCCUUUCAGCAGGGAAGAAGCGAAAGUGACGGUACCUGCAGAAGAAGCACCGGCUAACUACGUGCCAGCAGCCGCGGUAAUACGUAGGGUGCAAGCGUUGUCCGGAAUUAUUGGGCGUAAAGAGCUCGUAGGCGGUCUGUCGCGUCUGCUGUGAAAACUCAGGGCUUAACCCUGAGCUUGCAGUGGGUACGGGCAGACUAGAGUGCGGUAGGGGAGACUGGAAUUCCUGGUGUAGCGGUGAAAUGCGCAGAUAUCAGGAGGAACACCGGUGGCGAAGGCGGGUCUCUGGGCCGUAACUGACGCUGAGGAGCGAAAGCAUGGGGAGCGAACAGGAUUAGAUACCCUGGUAGUCCAUGCCGUAAACGUUGGGCGCUAGGUGUGGGGACCUUUCCAUGGUUUCCGUGCCGCAGCUAACGCAUUAAGCGCCCCGCCUGGGGAGUACGG
rnacentral:rRNA from 1 species